GACGUAGGGCGCAAGCGUUGUCCGGAUUUAUUGGGCGUAAAGAGCUCGUAGGCGGCUUGUCGCGUCGACUGUGAAAACCCGCGGCUCAACCGUGUGGUCUGCAGUCGAUACGGGCAGGCUAGAGUUCGGUAGGGGAGACUGGAAUUCCUGGUGUAGCGGUGAAAUGCGCAGAUAUCAGGAGGAACACCGGUGGCGAAGGCGGCCCGCUGGGCAGGAAGAGGGAGCAAUCCCUCGGCUGACACUGAGGCGCGACAGCGUGGGGAGCAAACAGG
rnacentral:rRNA from 1 species